AUGAAGUCUGCCUAUCUCCGGGCCAGAGCCCCUCCCCUCGGCCCGCGCGGGAGGAGUGUGACCCAGGUGCCGCUUCCUCUCGCCGCGGAGGGUCAGGAGCCCGGGAGCGCGACCCUCCCCCGGCCCGGCCCGGCCCGGUCCGGCCCUUUCCUGCGGCCUCUGCCCGGGCUGACGCCCAGGACCGUGGGCGACGAGCAGCCCCAAAGGCACGGCGCAGCCGCUCGGCCUCGUAUCCUGAGCCAUGUUCCUCCUCUGGUGACUGUAGCCCUGUCUCCGAGACUAGACAUGAGGCUCCACUCCACAGACGCCACCUCACUUAGCCCUCUGGCAGCCCCGGGGAGGUAUUUUUAUCUCCAGUUUGCAUGUGAUGAACCGAAACUAGCAAGAAGAUGUGACUUCAGAGAACCUGCUAGCCCCUCACACCCCCUUCUCUUCCACCUCUACACGCAGGGUCUCUGGAAGGCUCAGCCAGGGCCUGACCCCCCGACGCAGUGCUCAGAGCCCACAAGGCUUCCAGAGGCCCACAACAGUGUUAGAGCUUCUUUAAAAUCAGAAGGAAGGAAAUGAACCUUUAAGAGCAAAUAGUACGUUUGCCUUUAUACCAAUGCAGCCAUGAAAUAUGAUUUCUCAUAUUUGGGAGGAGAAGGGACCCAUAAAGUAAAGCACCUUGGCCUGUGGAAGUCACCGGUGACCUGAGUUCAACCCAUUGGAGGCUGAGGGGCCGGAGCCCACUGCCUCUGCUCUCCCUGCCUGAAUCUGCCCCUGGCUCCCGGGGCUCUGAUCCUCCUCUGCCCUGGCAGUCCUGGUUCCCUAGCAGUCCUGUCACCGCAGGGCUCCCUGGGCUGGACAGCUGCAGGGUCAGCCUCUACCUCUCCCUGUGGGACUUCACCAACACAGCUGGAGGAGAUGCUAGGGAGGCUCAGGGCAUGCACUACUUGCGGUCUCUCUCUCUCCUCUCUCUCUUUCUCUAUCUGUUUAUCUUACUCUUGUGUCCUUUUAAGUCAGAAGAUUAGGCUACUCUUCACUUACAAGUUUAAAAAUAAGUUUCUUUGCUCUAUUUCAUUUUGCAGAAGCAAUUCAUGUUCAUUGUAGAAUUGUAGGAACAAGAUCAACAGGAAGGAUGUAGGAAGAAUCUCUCUGGGGAAGAGGGUGACUUUGAGAUACAGUCUCUUGCCCUGAUGUGAGCUUUCAGUUACCUGAGGUACAGUACAGUAAGAUGCUUCCAAACAGAGAGAGAGAGAAAGAGACUUAGUUCAUAUAACUUGUAUGCAGCAUAUUGUUACAAUUGUUUUACUUCAUUAUUCAUUGUUGUUGUUAAUAUCUUACUGUGUCCAAUUUAUAAAAUAAACUUUAUCGUACUUAUUCGCA
rnacentral:lncRNA from 1 species